rnacentral:rRNA from 1 species
GUAGGUGGCAAGCGUUGACCGGAAUUAUUGGGCGUAAAGCGCGCGCAGGCGGUUCUUUAAGUCUGAUGUGAAAGCCCACGGCUCAACCGUGGAGGGUCAUUGGAAACUGGAGAACUUGAGUACAGAAGAGGAAAGCGGAAUUCCACGUGUAGCGGUGAAAUGCGUAGAGAUGUGGAGGAACACCAGUGGCGAAGGCGGCUUUCUGGCCUGUAACUGACGCUGAGGCGCGAAAGCGUGGGGAGCAAACAGGAUUAGAUACCCUGGUAGUCCACGCCGUAAACGAUGAGUGCUAAGUGUUAGGGGGUUUCCGCCCCCCUUAGUGCUGCAGCUAACGCAUUAAGCACUCCGCCUGGGAGUACGGCCGCAAGGCUG